GUACGACGCUGAUCCAUAUUAUCAAGCUUUGGAUAAUAAAGUUAAGACUCAUGCUGCUACAGCUGGAGUCGAGGUUUUCUCUCCAGUGAGUCAUACACUCUUCAAUCCUGCAGAUAUUAUAGAAAAGAAUGGGGGAAGGCCACCACUGAGUUAUCAGUCCUUUUUAAAGCUUGCUGGGGAACCCUCAUGAGCAUCUUCACCACUUUUGGUUGACCUUCCUUCAAUUCCUCCUGUUGAAGAUGUUGGAAGUUGUAAGAUUUUACACGUUCCAACACUAAAGGAACUAGGGUAUGUGGAAAAGGAUCAAGUAUGGAGCUAUCAAUGUUUCAGAAAUGUAGCUUUGUUUUAAAGAAAUCUUUAUAAAAAAGGGAUUCCUUGUGCAAGAUGAAUUAACUCCGUUUAGAGGUAGUGAAUUUGAAGCAUUGAGGAGGUUGAGAGAAUCACUAAGUGACAAGGUAAUAUAUGCCUUCUAGGCCUGAGUAUGAAUUAGUGAUAGCAAUAUAAUGGCAUUCAAGUUUUAGAAGAGGCAUCCUUUCGUAGGAUGGUGGAAUUGACAAAGUUUUCAAUUCAAUUUUCAACCGCUAUUAUUUACCGUUGGUAAUACAUAAUGUAGAUAAAUGAUAGAUUACAGUGUCCUUUGUAGAAUUAUUUUGUGGUUUUGUGACGGCCAUGGAAAACUUUUGGUUAACUUUCUUCUUUCUUUUUAUUUUAAAAUAAGGGCUCGUGUUAAUUUCUAACUGAGUUCCGUGUAAUAAAAUUGAAUCCAUUUGAGUUGACUAAUUAAGGUAGUAAUGAAAUGUAUGAUGAGAAGAGGUGCAUAUGUUAGGUUAGAUAAGUCUCAUGAGCUUAAGUUGGUUUGGGUAUAUGAGGCUUGUGAAAUGUCUUGCUUGCUUACAAGUUUCUGAUGUAGUCUAUCAAUCUGAGGAGAAAAAGUUGGCCGCAUUCCUGUUAUUGUGAUAUCUCUCAUCUCUUUGAGAGGAAGUUAUAAUUUUUAAGUGCCUAGCAAGAAAACAUAAAUAUGCUUCUGGUUAUAAUUGUGAUUAGUCCAUCUGUAUUUUUCCUUCUAAUGGCUUUGUUAGGACAGCUAUAAGUUCCUGCUGAAAUGUGAAAUCUCCUCUGGUUUGUCACUAAAUGACCUGAUUUCAUGCAAAAUACUUUCACUUAUCUUAUUGGUUUUCCCUUUUUUUUUUUUUUUCUGGUAAUCUUUUUUAAAUUGAGUUUCAGUUGAAAUCCAUACACAAUUUGAUAGCAUCCAUCAUCAACCAAAAAUAGUGAAUUUGAAAUAUUAACUAUUUCUUAUAUUCUGGUUACAAACUGAUAGAAACUUUUUUAUUUUCCGAUGCCUAUUUUAUUGUUACUAUGAAACUAAUUAGAGGCUUUGUUCCGCUUGGCUCUGACUGAUGCUUGCUUUACCGAACAUGUUUUUGGGUGGAGUGGACACUAGCGCAUUUACUGUGAACUGGGCAAUGGCAGAGCUGUGUAGAAAGCCAAGAUUGAUGAAAAAAGCACAAAGAUAAAGUUCGAAGCAUUGUGGGAAAGAAAUGAAGAGUAACAGAAAGCGAUCUCGAUCAGUUUCAAUACCUCAAGAUGGUUAUAAAAGAAAUUCUAUUGCACCCUCCUGCACCACUGCUGAUUGCCAGAAAAGCCAUGUCACACUUCAAAAUCAAUGGU